rnacentral:rRNA from 1 species
CGCGGUUAUACAAAAUAUACAAAUAAAUUUUAUUAUUUUAUAGUUAGAUUAUUAAUUUUAAAUUAAAAAUUUAUAAAUAAGGUGAAAUUUUUUAUAAGUAGAAAUUUAUUAAUAAAUUGAUUGAAGCUAUUAGAUUUAAUUUAUAAACUAGGAUUAGAUACCCUAUUAUUUUAAAGGUAAAUAUAGAAAUUAGGUAGUAAUAGUUAUAUUCUUGAAACUUAAAAAAUUUGGCGGUAUUUUAAUCUACUUAGAGGAAUCUGUUCCAUAAUCGAUAGUCCACGAUAAAUUUUACAUAAUUUUAUUUAGUUUGUAUAUCGUCGUUAUAAGAAAAUUUUAUAAGAAAUUUAAUUUUCUAAAAUUUAUAUUAAAAUUUAUUUCAGAUCAAGGUGCAGCUUAUAAUUAUGAGGAAAUGGAUUACAAUAAAUUUAUUUAUUAUGAAUAAUGAAAUGAAUAUUUUGUUUGAAGGUGGAUUUAAUAGUAAAUUGAAUUAUAUAAUUUAAUUGAUUUUAGCUCUAAAAUAUGCACAUAUCGCCCGUCGCUCUCUUUAUUUAAAAAGAGAUAAGUCGUAACAAAGUAGAUGUACUGGAAAGUGUAUCUAGAAUGAAUCA